rnacentral:lncRNA from 1 species
GUAUCCAAUGCAGUGAGAAUUUAUUUCAUAGUUAUCAAAGCAAACCAAAGGUUAUCAGUGGGUUGGACAUUUAAAGAUUAAGUACAGCUGAUCGCACUCAACUCUUAUGCAGGUAGCUUAACUCCAGUGGUUCUGGUCUCUCUCUGAAGGGAAAAUAGAGGUGUUUAUGAUCCUGUAUCCUAAUGGGUUCCAGGUGAUCCAGGCUAGGCAGCUGAGUUAGGCCCUCUCUUCUUUGAUUUACAUGGCAGAAUCCAGGCCAUCCCUCCGUGGGAAGCAGUGCCAAGGUAGGGAAACCUGAACAUCACUGAUGAGUGGCUGGAGGCCCAGAGCCAACGAGCCCCAGAGAUUAAAAACUGGGGGGCACUCAGUCAUCAGGGCCUCCGUGCUUUUGUGAAUUUGCCUCCAGGAGCAGGACCAGUUUCUCACAGUGAAUACUGGAGGAAAAUCUCCUCAUACUUCCUGAUUUAUUUUCCAGCAAUCCUUUACACACAUGGUCGUUUCAUAUGUGGUCAUCUCUAGGCUUUUUAGCAUUGUUUUUUUUUUUCUCCUUCCAUUUCCCCAUGUCAUCCAGGGUGUGCCUGUUUGAAUUUGGAUGAAGUUUGGCAUAUCCAUCAGAUGUGAUGAUAUGAGAAAACAGGUCCUCCUGUGGAGCAUCCAUCCAAUGGAACACUACUCAGCAGCAAAAAGGAACCAACUAUUAACAUUGUCUUCGUCAAGACUGCUAUAUACCAUAGACAGGAUGGCUUAAAUGACUGACAUAUUUCUCACAGUUCUAGAGGCUGAGAAGUCCAAGAUCAAGGUGCCCUUAGAUUCAAUUCGGUUCUUGGCUAAGGCCUUCUUCCUGGCUUGCCAAGAGCAGCCUUCUCAUGGUUUCCUGACAAGGAGGAGAAAAUGAGUUCUAUUUGGUGUCUCCUCCCCAGCUUUUUUUUUUUUUUUUUUUCUCUUGAGACAGAGUCUUUCUCUGUCUCCCAGGCUGGAGUGCAGUGGCGCGAUCUCAGCUCACCGCAACCUCCGCCUCCCAGGUUCAAGCGAUUCUCCUGCCUCAGCCUCCCGAGUAGCUGGGGCUACAGGCUCCCGUCACCACGCCCGGCUAAUUUUUCGUAUUUUUAGUAGAGGCGGGGUUUCACCGUGUUAGCCAGGAUGGUCUCUGGUCUGAUCUCCUGACCUCGUGAUCCGCCCACCUCAGCUUCCCAAAGUGUUGGGAUUACAGGCGUGAGCCA